rnacentral:lncRNA from 1 species
AUUUUCAAGCGUAAAGUCGUACCAAAAUCUUGAUAAAUUGUCAUUGAUGUUGUAGGUGAGCAGUCGGUCAGGAACAUCAUUAUGGGUGCCCUGUACUGCUAACACGUGUGGUGCCAGGGCAAAGGGUACGUCGCUUAGAAGAUCUGACAUGAAAGGGCUGCUUUCCAAAUUUGGGCUCCUUUCAUUUCCCACCUCUGCUCUCGAUAGAGUCAACUCCGACCGGUGCCCUGUAUUUAUCUGUGGAGGCUGGUUGUAUAUCGGUCUGGUCUCGGGAAAUGAAGUUUUGUCCUUUGUCUCUCUAUUUUGGUCAUCAGCUGUGUCACCCACAAUAACAAAUCCAUCUGCUUCUCUCUCUUGCACUGUAAUUUUCUUUGAAUCUUGACCUUUUCGGAAGAAGCUGAACAUAGUCUCUUUUUCUCUUCU